rnacentral:rRNA from 1 species
AUGCACACUGGGGAGCUGACAAUGCUGAAGAAGACCCUCCUAACCAAAAUGCAGACCUACAUGAUGAACAACAAGAAGAAGAGGAGCCAUACAGUGAAGGUGAAGCUCCAGUGCAGCCUGCAGGUGCAGAUGAUGCUCAAGUACAGCCCCAUAGUGAAACAAAUGAGCCUCUUUGAUUUAUUUAUGUGCUUUUACCUGCAAAUAUCUCUUAUACUGUUACUAACCAACUAUUUCUUCCCUAUUUGUUAG